GAGCCUUUCUCCUUGCAGUGGAUGUGGGUGAUACAAAACAACAGGCACCACGAUGUCCCACACCAAAAUCAAGUAUAAAAGGCUGAAGUGCCGAGAAUCGUGCCCCAGCAAACCAGCUGGUUCCUGAGAGCUUUUAGUCAGCUCAGAACUUUGAAGGGUUUCUCAGGAGAUCAAAGCUGGAGGAGUUGCGUGCCUGGGUCCCACUACAGACCUAUGAUGACAUCCUUCACAGAACCAGGAAAGAUGCAGAACCAAGAAAGAUGCAGAGACAGGAGGGAGCCUACAGGAGCAGAGAUGUCUCAGCCUUCCUAACUCCCGCUGGAUCCUGCAUCUCAGAUCGUGUGUAGAUUGAACAGUUGAGGCCUGCCACUAAUCUCUUGAAUCCUUAUUAA
ensembl:antisense 4921509A06Rik RIKEN cDNA 4921509A06 gene